rnacentral:rRNA from 1 species
AGAGUUUGAUCAUGGCUCAGGAUGAACGCUAGCGGCAGGCUUAACACAUGCAAGUCGAGGGGCAGCAUAAUGGAUAGCAAUAUCUAUGGUGGCGACCGGCGCACGGGUGCGUAACGCGUAUGCAACCUACCUUUAACAGGGGGAUAACACUGAGAAAUUGGUACUAAUACCCCAUAAUAUCAUAGAAGGCAUCUUUUAUGGUUGAAAAUUCCGAUGGUUAGAGAUGGGCAUGCGUUGUAUUAGCUAGUUGGUGGGGUAACGGCUCACCAAGGCGACGAUACAUAGGGGACGUGGAGAGGUUAACCCCCCACACUGGUACUGAGACACGGACCAGACUUCUACGGGAGGCA